ACGUAGGGGGCAAGCGUUGUCCGGAAUUAUUGGGCGUAAAGCGCGCGCAGGCGGCUGUUUAAGUUCGGUGUUUAAGCCCGGGGCUCAACCCCGGUUCGCACCGGAAACUGGAUGGCUUGAGUGCAGGAGAGGGAAGUGGAAUUCCACGUGUAGCGGUGAAAUGCGUAGAGAUGUGGAGGAACACCAGUGGCGAAGGCGACUUCCUGGCCUGAAACUGACGCUGAGGCGCGAAAGCGUGGGGAGCAAACAGGA
rnacentral:rRNA from 1 species